GGGGCGUUAGCUCAGCCGGUUAGAGCAGCGGACUCAUAAUCCGUCGGUCGCGGGUUCAAGUCCCGCACGCCCUA
rnacentral:tRNA from 3 species